rnacentral:rRNA from 1 species
GACGAACGCUGGCGGCGUGCUUAACACAUGCAAGUCGAACGGAAAGGCCCCCUUGUGGGGUACUCGAGUGGCGAACGGGUGAGUAACACGUGAGUAACCUACCCUUGACUUUGGGAUAACUUCAGGAAACUGGGGCUAAUACCGGAUAGGAGCUCCUGCUGCAUGGUGGGGGUUGGAAAGUUUCGGCGGUUGGGGAUGGACUCGCGGCUUAUCAGCUUGUUGGUGGGGUAGUGGCUCACCAAGGCUUUGACGGGUAGCCGGCCUGAGAGGGUGACCGGCCACAUUGGGACUGAGAUACGGCCCAGACUCCUACGGGAGGCAGCAGUGGGGAAUAUUGCACAAUGGGCGGAAGCCUGAUGCAGCAACGCCGCGUGCGGGAUGACGGCCUUCGGGUUGUAAACCGCUUUCGCCUGUGACGAAGCGUGAGUGGCGGUAAUGGGUAAAGAAGCACCGGCUAACUACGU